UGUAAAAUAAGCUAAAGUUUAAGCUGUUGGGUUCAUACCCCAAAAAUGAAUAACAAAUUCUUUUACAA
rnacentral:tRNA from 2 species